GACAGUAGGGGGUUUGAAGACGAUUAGAUACCGUCGUAAUCUCUACCAUAAACUAUGCCGACUAGAGAUAGGGAAAUGCCUACCUUGGCUUCUCCUGCACCUCAUGAGAAAUCAACGUCUCUGGGU
rnacentral:ncRNA from 1 species